rnacentral:rRNA from 1 species
UACGAAGGGUGCAAGCGUUACUCGGAAUUACUGGGCGUAAAGCGUGCGUAGGCGGUUUGUUAAGUCUGUCGUGAAAGCCCCGGGCUCAACCUGGGAAUGGCGAUGGAUACUGGCGGGCUAGAGUCAGGUAGAGGGUGGUGGAAUUCCCGGUGUAGCGGUGAAAUGCGUAGAGAUCGGGAGGAACAUCUGUGGCGAGGGCGGCCACCUGGACCAUGACUGACGCUGAGGCGCGAAAGCGUGGGGAGCAAACAGG